AGACCAGCCUAGCCAACAUGGUGAAACCCCAUCUCUUCUGAAGGUCUUCUCUAUUUCUGAAAACUGGAGAAAAGGAAGCCUCUGUAUCAAAACUCUCAAGUGUCCUAGGAAGGAAAUCAAGCAAACCAGAGUCCUGAAACAACCUGACAAUUCCAGUUCUAAAGAGAAUCGAUUACUAACAGCUAUGGCACUGGGCCCAGGAAAUAGAAGUGCUCCAACCUCUGCAAAGCCUAGAAUGAAACACACAGGGGCAAAGGGGAAGACUUCCCUGAAAAUCACUGACAAAAAUCAGAUUAAUCAGAGAAAAGGCAUAGAAUUUAUUUAUCAUGGUUUUAUGUGACAUGGGAGCCUUCAGAAUGAAAACCCAGAGACACAGGGGAAACUGUUUGCUUUUAUGCUUAGGUUCCACAAAGCAUGGACAGAUGUGUAGAAAUAUGAUUGGGCAAAAAGGAUAUGAGCUAAUGGUAAUAGACUCAGUGGGGAAACCCAGCAAAACCUCUUUUCAGGUUCUUCUUGGCCUCUGUCCAGGAUUUCUGCCUUCUGGGUAUGGGCAGGACCCUCUCUGGAAUAGAGUUUUUAUAACCUACAGUCAAACAAGGGCCUGAGAAACCUGUGGCUGAGAAGCUGCUGGCCCAGCUGGUCCUCAUCAGCCCAUAAAUACUGCAUGCAAAAAGGAU